CCUACGGGUGGCAGCAGUGGGGAAUAUUGCACAAUGGGGGAAACCCUGAUGCAGCGACGCCGCGUGAGUGAAGAAGUAUCUCGGUACGUAAAGCUCUAUCAGCAGGGAAGAAAAUGACGGUACCUGACUAAGAAGCCCCGGCUAACUACGGGCCAGCAGCCGCGGUAAUACGGAGGGGGCAAGCGUUAACCGGGUUUACUGGGUGUAAAGGGAGCGUAGAAGGGAGCACAAGUCUGGAGUGAAAUCCCGGGGCUUAACCCCGGAACUGCUUUGGAAACUGUGCGGCUGGAGUGCAGGAGGGGUAAGCGGAAUUCCUGGUGUAGCGGUGAAAUGCGUAGAUAUUAGGAAGAACACCGGUGGCGAAGGCAGCUUACUGGACUGUAACUGACGUUGAGGCUCGAAAGCGUGGGGAGCAAACAGGAUUAGAUACCCCAGUAGUC
rnacentral:rRNA from 1 species